AAAAGUACGGAGAUGUUAGGAAAAAUGGUAAGUGAGCUAAACACAAUACUAAGGCAACAAGUACAACAAACAACAGUCAUGUUACAACUACUCACAAACUUGCUAAGUAAAAAAUAGAGAUGGACAUGUUGAAAAUAGCAAUCUGGAACUCCAAUGGCUUGCAACAGCGAGCUCCCGAAACUAAAACAUUUUUGCAUAAAAAUAAUAUUGAUAUACUACUUGUCUCAGAAACACAUUUCACUCUAAAAAGUUACAUGAAGAUACCGUACUACACCAUCUACGACAGCAAACACCCCUCAGAUAUCAACAGUAUAUGCACCACCGAGACACAAAAUGACACUUAAAAAAUGUGAAGAGUACUUCCAAUCCUUAGGAGGCAAAUAUAUCGCAGCAGGAGACUUUAAUGCAAAGCACACGUUAUGGGGUUCGAGAAUUAACACAUCGAGAGGCAGAACACUAGAAAAAUA
rnacentral:misc_RNA from 1 species